AGAUUUUGUGAUGGGUGAAGUUUUAACUGUCAGAGAUCCAUGUGUACUGUAAUGACGGAUGAGAGCAUUGCUGUCGGGGCUAUGGAGCCGAUGGAAUUUUUCCCAUAAAACUCCAGGGGGUCUUCAUGUUGGAAGCCACUGAUCUGAAAGGGUAGGCUUUGCUCUCGGCAUCCCCAUAUGCAGCUAGCUCUUCCUAGAGGUGGCUCCCCUGAUGUUCAUUACUCCUGUUUCCUGCUGUGUGACAAAUGCAUCACGCCAUGUAUCCAACAUUACAGUAUUAGAACAGUUUCAUGAAGUCCAAAUAGAGGGCCAGUCCGUGCACAGCACCGUGAGGGCCCCAGUGAUGUUCCCGCUCUCCCUUCUUCAGCCGGUGGAGGGCGCCACGGCCAGCCCUGGGCCUUGAAGAAACAUGAAGUUGUGUUGCGAGGUGCUGGGCUGCGCGCAGGGAGCUGUGGGCUCUGCGGAGCUGUGGACAGCCCCCAGCCUCCAGCCAUGAGCCACCAGGGAAUUCUGCCAACCCCCUGCCGAAGCUUGGAAGUGAACCCCUCCUCAGUCCAGCUUCCAGAUGGGAACACAGCCCAGCUCACACUUUGCAGUCGUGUGAGACCCUCAGCAGAGGACCCGGGUGAGCUGUGCUUGGAAGUUCUGAAGCACAGAAGUAGAAAAGCAAUAGGUGUUUUAAGCCACUAAGCUUGUGGGGAUGUGUGGAGUGGCACAGAGAACUAAUAUACCUCCUGUACCUCUCUAGACUGUAUUCUACAAUCCCACCGUUUGCCACAGCACAGAUGGACCUUGAGAGUAUUAUGCUAAGGGAAAAGAGUCAAAGAAAGAGGAAUCCCAUAUGAUUUCACUUAAAUGUGGCAUCUACAAAACAAAACUAGCAAACAGACCAAACUAACAGAUACAGAGAACAGAUGGGUGGUUACCAAGGGGCUGUGGAGUAGGGGUGGGUGUAAGGUAAGGGGGUCACUUGCACCAUGAUAACUAGACUUGC